rnacentral:rRNA from 1 species
UACGAAGGGGGCUAGCGUUGCUCGGAAUCACUGGGCGUAAAGCGCACGUAGGCGGAUUGUUAAGUCAGGGGUGAAAUCCUGGAGCUCAACUCCAGAACUGCCUUUGAUACUGGCGAUCUCGAGUUCGGGAGAGGUGAGUGGAACUGCGAGUGUAGAGGUGAAAUUCGUAGAUAUUCGCAAGAACACCAGUGGCGAAGGCGGCUCACUGGCCCGAUACUGACGCUGAGGUGCGAAAGCGUGGGGAGCAACAGG